rnacentral:lncRNA from 1 species
UACAGCAGCAUAAGCCACAUAGUGGAGGUCCAGUAAACGUUUGAAUAAGCUUGUAAAUGACCAACAAGAAAGAAUGUCAUUGUCCAUCAACUCACUUUCCCCUCACAACAAGCCCACAGUAAUACUGGGUCAGGAAUUCUUAGUCCCAUGGUAGAAAAGAAAAACCAAGAAUGCCUUAGAACUCUUGUGGUUGCAGGUAACAAAGACCCACAAAUUCUAGAAAAACAAUAGAAAGAACUCCAGCACUAAGACAUAGGGUGUCUCACAGAACCAGAAGGUAGAUGUGCAGCCAAAUGUCAGGUGGGAUCUAAAUGGAGGCUGCGGGAUGGGAAUGCUGCCAAGACCACUCUCCCCGCUUCCCUCGGAUGGCUUAAGGAAAUCUCCACACUGUUUUCCACAGUGGCUGCACCAGUCACAGCUUAUCUUUUAUCAAGACUGCUGGGGAAGAAAAUCCAAUCAACUAUGGCUAAGGAGUAUGCAGAGAAGGCAAACAUGGCUUCCCAGAGAAGUGGAAUCAUUUUGAGCUGGUCAUAUACCCUUAAA